UCACCUGUUCGACGAAAUUCCCCACCGGGUCAGUUCAUUUUCAUUUCAUUUCAAUUCAAUGGCAAUUUACUUGAGAUGAGAUGGACCUGGGAGGCGUGGUGCGGGGUGACGACGGGGACGAGGGAGUAGUCCGUGAGGAGGGGCUGGAGGUCGUCGCCGAGGAGGACGUUGGAGGACUUGAGGUGGCCGUGGGGCACAGUGAGCAUGGGGAGCUCGUCGUAGAGGCCACCACAGGGUGCAGGUUCGGGUGCGCCAGCCGGCCCAACCGCCGCAUGUGCUCGCUGAAGUCGGCCCGCCGUCCCGCGCCGUUCAUCUCCUUGAACCGCUUCACCACCACGGCGGUGCCGUCCAGGAGCGUCGCCUUGUAGGAGGCACCGAAGGUGCCGCUCCCGAGCACCUCCGCCGAGGCCCGGAGCAGGUCCUCCAGCUCGAACCGCACCACCCGCCGGCUCUCAUCGUCCUGGAUGAACACCAGCUUCCCCGCCGGGUUCUCGUCGCGCCGCGAGCGCUUCGCCGAGACGGCCACCACCGCGCCGUGCUCCUCCAUGUCGCGCUGCUCGACCUUGAUGGACGACUCGGAGGUGGUCUGCAGCUUGGCCGCCACGGCACGGCCGGCUCCGGCCGUCUCGGUGGCGGCGUUCUUGUCGUCGUUGUUGCGGCGGGCGAGCAGCGCCAUGAUUAUGCCCACGAUGGCGAGGAGGCCGCCCAGGGCAACCACGGCGAUGGCGAUGAUCAUCAGGAUCUUCAAGCUUCCUGAUGACGAUGACGGUGAUCCGCCGAGCCCUGGUGGGCAUGGAGCGUCCACCAGCGGCGGGCCGCACAUACCUUUGUUGCCUGAAAGAUUUUUCUCAAUAUCUGUGAGCUGCAGAGAGAAUUCUAGUGCGGAUGCAGUUUGUAUUACUUUACGGGGCAAACGAAUUUUGGGUGAGAGCAAGAUCAAAUCAAUCCCAGUUCUUAGUACUACACGUCGUGAUACUAGCAGUUUGGGGCGUUCUACAUGUUGUGCGAAUGCAGAGCUGUACAAGUACGAAUCAAUCAUGCUGUUAUUCCACGUAUAGUUGGACGCGUCUGGCAUAUCCUUGGGUCAAUCGUGCAGGUCAGCUCACAGUUUGUUUUGCA